rnacentral:rRNA from 1 species
AACCCAAAUUAAUAGCUACCGGCGUAAGGCGUGUUUAAGGCAACACCCAAAAUAAAGUUAAACUCUGACUAAGCCGUAAAAAGCCCUAGUCCCUGUAAAAUAAACUACGAAAGUGACUUUAAUAGCCUGACCACACGGCAGCUAAGAUCCAAACUGGGAUUAGAUACCCCACUAUGCUUAGCCCCAAACCUAAGAAGUUAAACUAACAAAACUGCUCGCCAGAGUACUACUAGCCACAGCUUAAAACUCAAAGGACUUGGCGGUGCUUUAUAUCCAUCUAGAGGAGCCUGUUCUGUAAUCGAUACACCCCGAUAAACCUCACCAACCCUUGCCAAAU